rnacentral:sRNA from 1 species
AUGUCUCAUCUACUAUUCUUCUUCUCACACUCUCUCACAGCUACUGCCACACCUCGCUCUCUCACCUUCUCUUGCUUCAACCUUUUACCUUUACAAAUACUUCAUCAUCACCAUCACCAUCACCAUCCACUUCCAAUUUCUUCUUCUUCGAAACUGAAGCUAAGUCCAACCCACCACCCGUUUCUUUCCAAACCCAUCUCACCUUCAAGCUCAAGGCCUAGUUGUUCAUCCAAAGAAGAUCUCCACCUUGUUUCAACAACCGGUAAUUGUAUUGAAUUUCUCUUUUUAAAGCUAACACUUUUACAAUAUAUACUAACAACCCAGUUCUUGUUUUCUUUCUUUUCUUUUUGAUUCGGUGGGCUUUGGCAGAAUGUUCUGAUGGCAGUGUGUUGUUCCGGUUUGCCAAUGCGAGUGAGCUCGAGAAAAUUGUCGAAGAAAAAGAAGAAACUGGUUACAAUUACAAGGACUUCAAACAUAAUUUGUAUUCUGACAAAGAACAAACGAGUAACCAAACUGAAGUGGAUGAUCAAAUGUCUAUAAGCAGAGAGAUUACUAAUACUGAUACUGAUAGCAGUGUAGUAAAAGCAGCAGCCUUAUUACAAACCAAAAUAACUGAUUCCUCUGCUAGCGUUAUUCAGGAUAUAGGAACCAAUGUGCAUAUACAGAAGGAUUCUAUUGCACCUUCAAGCUCAAGGCCUAGUUGUUCAUCCACAGAAGAUCUCCACCUUGUUUCAACAACCGGUAAUUGUAUUGAAUUUCUCUUUUUAAAGCUGACACUUUUACAAUAUAUACUAACAACCCAGUUCUUGUUUUCUUUCUUUUAUUUUUGAUUUGGUGGGCUUUGGCAGAAUGUUCUGAUGGCAGUGUGUUGUUCCGGUUUGCCAAUGCGAGUGAGCUCGAGAAAAUUGUUGAAGAAAAAGAAGAAGAAGCAACUGGUUACAAUUACAAGGACUUUCAACAUAAUUUGGAUUCUGACAGAGAACAAACAAGUAACCCAACUGAAGUGGAUGAUCAAAUGUCUAUAAGCAGAGAGAUUACUAAUACGGAUACUGAAAGCAGUGUGGUAAAAGCAGCAACCGUAUUAGAUACCAAAAUAACUGAUUCCUCUGCCAGUGUUAUUCAGGAUUCAGGAACCAAUGUGCAUAUACAGAAGGAUUCUAUUGAAGAUGGUAAAUAUGUCAUUACGAGUUCUAAGAAUGAAGUUGAUACAUCCAGUAUUUCUUUGGUUCUGGAUGUGGUUUCAGAUUUUGGAAAGGUUAGUACUCCUUGUGAGGAAGUUUCAGGAGAGAAGAUUUCUGGUGAAACUAGAAACCAAUUGAAAUCUUCUGAAUCCGAGUCUACGGUUGAUCAAGUAUCCAGUAGUUAUGCUUCUGAAACAAGUAAGAUGGUGAACGCUGAUAAGGAUCAUAGUGUGGAUACAAAUACAAUGGUGACUUACAUGACUGAUGAAAAAAGUAAUGAAGGCAAUGUCACUCAAGAGAUGAUGGAUGUGUCCACUUCAUUAGAGGCCAAAUCAGUUCUCGAUAAGGAGAUAAGCCAUAAUCCAGAGGAUGAAUCUGUUAAUGCAGAUGAAAUUGAAAGAUCAACAGUGGUAAGUCCCUUUUCUUAUAAGUAGUGAGCAGCCAUUAGUCUUGGUUUGUGUCUAGUUAAUUAUUAGCAGCUCAAUACAUUCUUAUUCUUGCUAUUAUGCUUGAAGAAGAUGAUAGAUAUUCAAAUGGGGUAAAUAGUAUUAUGACCAUCAAUUAGCUGACACGCUUAUAAAUUUGAGUAGUUAGUAUAUAGUGUUCCUCUCCUCCNNNNNNNNNNNNNNNNNNNNNNNNNNNNNNNNNNNNNNNNNNNNNNNNNNNNNNNNNNNNNNNNNNNNNNNNNNNNNNNNNNNNNNNNNNNNNNNNNNNNNNNNNNNNNNNNNNNNNNNNNNNNNNNNNNNNNNNNNNNNNNNNNNNNNNNNNGGGGGGGGGGGGGGGGGGGGCAUUGAUAAAGGUUUAGUGAAAAAAUCUAGCAAGUGAAACUUUGUGAUAUCUCAAUAAUCCUUUCCUCCUUUCACUGUCACUUCUAAGUGAAGAAGCGAUGGCACUUUCCAGUGUCUCUUAAGCUGUCAAUAUUCCCCCUUAGUACUUGGAGCUAAGCACUACAAACUAGUCCAUCUAGUUAUGCUUUAUAUUGUUUACUCCGUUUGUAUGUAUUUUGACUGCAUUACUAGAUAUGGUUUAGUUAUUAGGUUCUGUAGCAUAUUGUUUUCUGAUCUGAAGCAGGGGAGAUAACAUUAAAUGUGAGUUAAUAGUGAUUAGAAGAAAAUAAUUAUACUUUUGACUUUUAACCCUUUCAGUUUGACCCAAAAUUCUCCUUUUUCUGUUAUACUAAGAAAAUGACAUAAUUCUUAUAAUAUAGCAUAAAGUAUGGGUAAUAUAUGGCUUGUUAGCUUUGCAACAAGUAGAAGACAAAGUUGCAAUUUUAAGACAAGGGAUCAAAUAAAAACUUAGGUCAAACUAGGAAGGUGAAAAGGGUUAAUAGCCGUUAAAGAUUAUGUAAAUGGAGCAAAAGGAACCAAAAUUCUGAUGACUAUGAAAAAUAUGAAUAUAACAGUUUACAUAUGCUGAUAAUAACAUGUGGCCUCCAUUAUUUAUCAAGAAAGAGAAAAAUGAGUGUGCCUUCUAUCAGCCAUUAUAAAUAAAAAUAUUUAUGAUUAGAUGACAAACUUGUCAAGUGAAGCAUCAGUAAAUUUCUUGUUGUUAAAUUAGAAGUAUUUACUAGCAGGUGAUGCUGCCUGUAGCCACUUCAUUAGAGGCCAAACCAGUUCUCAAUGAAGAGAUAAGCCGUAAUCCAGAGGACAAAUCUGUUAAUGCAGAUGAAAUUGGAAGCUCAACAGUGGUAAGUCCUUUACUUUUCUUAUAUGUAGAGUAGUGAGCUUUAUUCUUGGUUUGUGUGGUGUUGAUUAUUUGCAGCUCAAUAAAUCCUUACUCUUGCUAUUAUGCUUGUAGGAGAUGCUAGAUAGUGAAAUUAUAGAGGGUUAGAUAGUAUUAUUACCAUAUAUCAACUGAUAUGCUUGUAAAUUUAAGGACAAAGAACUUUAAGAAAUUCUUGAGCAGUCAGAAUAGAGUAUUCAUCUCCCCCUGCUGCCGAAUGAGAAAUUUCAUUUGGGAUUUGUAGAGAUGUUAUAUAUUGAAAAUUCCAGUACAAAACAAAGGUAGAAUGGAAAUAACUAUCAUUUGGGGAGGCAAUAUUGUAUCUGCAUCAGAUAUGAUACUACAGUAUUCUUGAUUUUGUAUUUGAUACAGCUCAAAUUUAUCCUUGAAUAAAAAGUUUUAAUUUAGUUUAGGAUACAUGAUUUAGAUACUUGCCAGAUACAACAUAGAUACAUUUAGGAUAUAUUCGAGAUUAAAUUUUAUUAUUCAUACCCAAAAAAAAAAUCUGACUGUUAUAAAAAACAAUUUUAAAAAUGAAAAAUUAUGACCAUAGGAGUUUAAAAUUAAUUAUUAUAGUCUUUUGAAAUAAAAUCAAUACGAAAAAACAAAGAAGAAAGAGAUGAUUUUUAUCAAAGGAUGUCAAAAACAGUUUUUUUUUUCCAGACUUAGCUCAGUUAGCUGCUCAUUCUUUUUUUUCCAGUCAUAGCUCAGUUAGCUGCUCAUUCUAAUCUUCUUUCACCUCUUCUCCAUAGACAUUCAGUCAUGCUCUUUUACAAUUUUUUUUUCUUUUAAAUAUCUGAAUACUUUUUUAUAAAACAUAAUAUCUUUUAAAUAUCAUGCAGUAUUGUAUUCGUUUCCAAAAGAUGCAUUGACAUAUUAGUUUUGUAUUGUAUCCAUAUCCAUAUUCAAUUAGAUUCCCAUUUCCUCCUAAUUGCACAAUGCUUUCUACAAUGGGUUUUUUUUUAUUAUUAUUAUUAUUUGGUAUUUCAUUUAGUUCUGCAUCUGGCUUUGAGCAUAUAUUAUCUGAAUGUUUGCUUCAUACAAUAUUUUGCUGUGAUUGGCAAUUUGCUCAUUAGGUAGUUUGCAAACUCAAGCAAUUCUGUAUUUUUGUCAUAUGUAGUUAGAUGACAGUGCGCAUUCCUUGUAUUCAAAGGAAGAAUUCACUGUAUGUGAUGCACAUGGAAGCAAUGUUGCUCAAUCAACAAAUCCCAAAGCUGUAGAAUUGCUUUCAAUUGAGAGUACUUUGAAUGGGUAUGCUACUUUCUGACUCUCUCUUCCCUUCCCACAUGUAAUUUUCUACAUUUUGGUGCAAAUGUGUGUUCUGGAUGACUUUAUUUACUACAAGGCAUCUGGAGUUUGAUAGAGUUAACUAUAGUCGAAAAUGCUGCCCCUAGUUUUACUGUAUAACAUCUGCCUCUGCUUUAUACCUAAUCCUGGUUUGGAUUGUAAUGCUUUAUGCAUAUGAAGAAUCAUAUAUACGUAUAGGUUCCCUGUAUUGAUGUAGGCAAAACUCUAUAUGUUUUUUUUUUUUUUUUUUUUUUUUUUUUUUUUUUUUUUUCAUAUAUGUGAUUGCAUUAAUGGUACAAAACAUCUUUUAGGAAAGGCCAGCAAUGGCCUGCAUACGUCUUAAAUGAUGCCUUAUUACUAUUUUAUCCUGGAAAUUUUUGGCUUUACAGCAAAGUAUAAAUAUUGACCUAUAAAGUUGUGCUGAAAUACAUGUUUUAUAAUAUGGGAAAGCAGACCUUACCCCCUGUGGUUAGGCUGAAAAAAUGACCCCCUAAAAUUUAGUUUGUAACACUGAACCCCCUUGUGGUCAAGAUCAAAUUAAAAAAGCCAAAAUGUUAAGCAUCUUUUAGGAAAAUAAUUAUAACAUGUCAUUAAACAUUUUAGCACCAUUCCAUAUACUAUUUGCACUCCAAUUAUGGGAAAAAAAAAUUUAAGUGAAGAAGUGAAGGAAAAAUAAAAUAAAAUAAUAAAAGUAUAAAAAAUUGCCCAUCAAUGAAAGGGGGGGAAAAUACCCUUGAAAUGUUUCCAUCAUUUUCCAUCAAAAUAGGCUAAUUGGUUUUACAGAUAUCGACUCAAUUUCCACAUUACAAACGCUGAAAAUUGCAAUUAUUCAUUUCACAUUCUCUCCUUUCCCACAUUUUCUCUAUGACCAUGCACUGAAUCACAGGAUAAAAAAAAUCCUACAUUUGCAAAUUUAUUGAUGCUAUACAAUUGCUUGGCCACCCAAGGAAACAGCCAUGAAAGAAGUUAAAAUGGAGGGCUUUUUUUUUAUAUAAGUAAGAAGAAAAUAUUAUUAAAAAAAGAAAAGCAAGAGAAAUACAAAGAGUUCACGGUAGUGUGAACAAUGGAAAAAAGAAAUAACAAGACACAAACAGUCCCUAAUCUAUUCUAAUAGAAGAAAUAAAAUCCGUAAGGGAAGAACAAUCCGAGAAACCCCAACAACAAGACCAAUCAAAGAGGGUCCUCUAGCAAAACUCUAAUAACUGAACUAUAGUUUUCCCCUCGUCGUUAAAAUGGAGGGCUUGCCUUGGGUGUUGUUCAAGCCAUUCUGCAAUUCUUUCAAACCACUGAAUCCAACCACCAUUGCUUCACCCAAGGAGACCAAAAUAUGAAUUCUUGCCAGCCCCCAACUAAACCCUCUAUACGUGGGUGUUUCAUGUCAUUGUCAUAAGCCAAAACUGAUUUCCUCUCUUUGUUUCUCAAUCUCUAAAUUUCUUAUAAAGGAGGACAUGUUUAACCAUACCAGCACCUUCUUUCCUACCCAAAUCUUUUCUUUUUCCUCACUUUUUUCUAUUUAAUUUUCCCCUUUUUUUCUGGUUUUUUUCUCAAAUUUUCUGUUUUACAAGUCCUUGAAAUUUAACAAAAUAAAGUAACAGAUGGCACAAGUGGGUACUUUAUCACAUUUAAAAUCACAAGUUGUGUGUAUAUAUAAUAAUGAUAUAUGUACACGAAGUACUUGCUCUCAUGACAUAGUAUUGCUCACCCUCUAUAGAAAAAGCUGAGACCUUUGAAGGGAAGACCAUGGUGAGCAAGUAUCCGGAGUUCCAGACAAUUUACUUUGAAGGAGUUAUUUACUAUUCUGUUCCUCAUGUUUGUUCAUUGUAUAUACACUCAGGUAGCAAAUUUCCACAGCAGGACUUAUCCUAUAUUCUGGUGCUGCUUUAUUGCCACAUCCCUCUAAGGUAUGUUCUUAAUUUCCUUGUAUUAUGACUUGUUCCUUCAGUAAAUGGUUAUUUAAUCUUUAGUAAUUGUGGUAUAGUAUAGUAUAGUAUGGAUGGAUAGAUAGAUAGAUAAAAUGUUUUACAUUAAGCAGAAAUUACUCGUUCAAAACUCCCAUUCCUCCUCCCCCUGGGGGCCACAAACUUUUGACUUGUGCAUUUGACAUUUACACUUUGUUUAAGGACAGGGUAGAGGGGUGGAAAGACUUAAAAUUGGUUAGGAGAGAAAGAUAGGGUUUAGAGGGAGGACCAAAACCCUUCCUAACUCACCAUAUCCAAUCCACCCAAAAUUGAUGGAUUGAAACUCUUCUUUCAUUCCUUCCACAGCUUUACAAAUUUUCCCUGUAUUCCAAUGUAGAACAGAGGAUGAAAUCAGAAAGUUGACAACAAGAGGUGGCUCUCCUUCCCUUCCUCCCUUUUGGACUCCUCUUCCUCCUUCCUCAUUUCCCUUCCCCCUCCAUCCGCCGUACUUUCUGUCUCUUCUAUCAAACAUUGUUUUAGUCAAGCUAUCAAAUGUUACAGUGAAAUACUCAAACCAAGUAAUUAAAUUUUUUGAAGGUUUUACAUGUGAGGGCAUUAUAGUUGGGCUUUUGGGUUGAUUUGACUUUUAGAAAGGCUUAUUUUGCCUAAAUAUUGAAUGUAAUCCUCUUGAAUUUGAGUGUUAGUGUCCUUCCAUUUUAAGAGUCAAUAUAAAAUUUUGGAUUACUUUAAUAUUUUUUUUAUGUGAUGUUUGGCUUGAAUUUGAAUAUUGAGGAUCAGUAAUUCGAAAAUUAAUAAUGACCAGGCAUUGACAGGUGGAGAGGAUGCUUAUUUUGUUGCUGGCCAGAACUGGCUAGGUGUAGCUGAUGGAGUUGGUCAGUGGUCACUGGAAGGUAUCAUUUUCAUGAUAUGUACGUUUUGCAUAAAGCAUCUAUCAUAUCAAAUCAUGCAAUAUCAGAGUUGACUUAUUUAUAUUAUGCUUCCGAUUAUUCAUCAGGGAUUAGUGCCGGACGGUAUGCCCAAGAGCUCUUGGAGAACUGUGAAAAGAUAGUGUUAGACUCCAAAAGUGUUCCAUUGACCAAACCAGAAGUAGUUCUUAUAAGAAGUGCUGCAGAAUCACAAUCUCCUGGAUCAUCUACUGUUUUGGUUGCUUACUUUGAUGGUCAGGUAUAUAUUUGCCCACUUAAGACUUAAUAUAUUCCCAUGUUGUAGUUAGUAUCAAUAUAUUUAGAUGUUUUUUGCUAUUUUUUACCUGUUUGAGGAUCUAAACACAAUUAUGCUCAUUAAAUCUCAUUAGUGAUCCUCUCCUUAGGCCGAGAAAAUAAUAAGUUUGAUUAUCAGCUUAAAUGGAAUUGAAUUCAGUAAUACAACUUUUUUCUUUAUAACUAAUAAAAAUUUAUUAAAAGAAACACAAACAGUAAAGGUGGGCAAAACGUGAAAGAGCAAUUAUGAACAAAAGUUCAGAAAAGUUGGUUGACAAAACUCAGGAGAAGUUUUAUGCUUCCUACAAGCCCUCUCACCUAGUAAUGCUUUUACAUCUCUAGGAAGAAAUGGUUCUGCUUCUAGAGCAAAAUGUUAUUUUUAGGAACUAUCAACUUAAAGGGUCAAGUUGUUUGAAAAUAGACUUAUAUGUAAAGAGCUGAGAAAAUGACCGAAAUUAUGGUACCCCAAGGUCCAAACUCCAAACUAAAGAACUCUCUGUCAAACGUAAAAAAAAAUUCCAACAUAUUGUAAAAUUACAUUCCAAUAAAAUCAAAUGGAGCUAGGUGUCAGAAGGUUUUGAACUACCCAAGACCAAAACCAGAUCAGACUACUUGAAAAUUUUUGCCAAAAAAAAAAAAAAAAAUUAAUAAUAAUGAUUCAACAAUACUUCAUUUCCCUUUUUAUUUACCCAUUCACUUGUGUCAAUAGUAGCAUUUAUACGUUUAGUGCAAAAAAGAAUGACCAACAUCCCUAAUAAAUGGUUCAUAAUUCUAUUAUUGGAUUUUAGGUUUUGUUAUUGGAUUUUAAGUACUCAACCAAUCCUAAGGCAUAUAUACGUAAUAUAUACAUAAUGACAUCUCGUAGCACUCUGUGUCAUAAAUAUCACUAACUUGGAAAAUGACAUUGGAUGCUCAGUGAUGAUGCCAAUAAUGGCCGUUAGUUGAGGACCUCGUCUAGGCUCUAAACGAGGUGAUGUUCCCUGCAAAGAUGUGAGAGAAAGGUACCGGAGUGGCAUCAACCAAUGGUUCUCCAAUGACUAAGUUAGUAAGGUUCUCAAUAUCUCUUAGAAAAUCAGAAUAUAAUUCUGCGUAUUUUGUUGUGUGUACCUUUCUCUAGUUGCUUGAUGGCUUAUUUAUAGUCUUAGUAUAGCUGUUGGGAGCCUUAUUAUAAGUGUAGUUGUUGCGAACCUCAUUAUGGCUCUCAUGUUUUGAGUAACAUAAGCUUAAAUAGAGACUUAAUUGGCUCAUAAUUUCUCUUUCAGACCAUUGUAGCUCGUCAAUUACAAAGUCAUUUAUUGCUGUGUAAUCAAUGCUAUAUGGUCAACCAAAGAUUGGACAAUCCUAGAUUUUUAGUACUCAUUAGUUAUAUCACCUCGUCCAGAGUACUGAUGCUCAUAUAUUAUUUGACUCGUCAUUCAGGAUAGGAUUAACACUAGCAUUUCUCUAAUUUUAUUUAUUUUUAUAUAUAUUUUUUUUAUAUUGAAGAGAUGUCCAAAAUUACCAUGGUGGUUGUCGAUGUCUUGUAGUGGUUGACCACCUUAUGCAAUGACACUCGCGUAGCUUCUUUGUCUUUUGCAGAGCUUGAGUGCUAUGAAAGAGGGUUGAAAAAGGGUGGACCUCUGGUGUGUGACUAAAUUUAGUCAAUUUUAAUCUAUUAUUAUCAAAAGUUGUGAAGUCGCCACCAAUCAUUAGGUUUUUUUUAAGGUGUGAUUAGUCACCUGACUCUAUUUGAUUUUAUUGCCAGAUGGUCAUUUUUCCUAAUCUAAUACAAAUGGUAAACAAAUCUUGAUUCUUGAGUUCAGAAGUUUGGUUACGUGUGGGGAAUGUGUUAGGCACCCUACAACGCCUGCCUAGAGAUAGUUCUUUGUUUUGGUAAAAUCUUAAAUUUUAACACUGGCAAUUAAAAACAAGCUAUUGGCAUUAGCUUUUAGGGGUUUAAAAUAAUUGGGCUAUGAUGCAGAAAACUUGACUUUCAUAACUUUCUUGAACCCUAGCUACAUACGCAAGUCCAUGCCUGCAUAAGCAUGCGUCAAACUUGCGUACGCAAGCCUAGGGUUUCCGUGGCCUUUAUUUUCCAAAAUUAGAUUUAUUUGCUCAUAAAAAUUUAUAUUUUCCAUAAAAACCUUCCUCAAGUCAAUUUAGAAUCUGAUUGAGCCAUAAACAAACCUUGGGCCUUAAAAUUUCAACAUCAUUGGGGAAUGAGAGCCUGAGUUGUAAGGGGUACAAAAUGUGGUGUCUACAAGUAUGUUCAUACUAAGACAAGCUGAAGCUCACCAAAGCAUUGAACACCUUGACGCGUGUCGCAUACACAGGGGAACCAAUGUCACUAGCUGACAUGAAUCGAGAAAAUCACACUGCAACAAUCAUGAACAUAAUGUAGUAUUAAUAUGCAUCUACAACAAUUGCCUUAAAUGCAUACCCACAUUCUAAGGUCAAGAGCACCCAUAAUCAUGAGGGGGGGGGGGUGCCCUCCUAACCAAAAAGGGACACUAGAUCUCGUGUACAAAGAUGGGUGUGAACCCGCACGAGAUUGUAGGUAGGAACUAAGCUUAACGACACAAACAAGCACACAAAGACACAUAUAUGAAUAGUGAACAAGGAUGCAAAGAUGUAAACAAAACAAAGAAAGCCAAACAAGAUGGCACGAAGUAAGCAUAAAGAAGCUAAGCAUGUUAUCACACAAAGUGGAGAGCUAAUGAUGUUAAAAGGCACAUACAAAGGCUAACAUAAGAAACCCUAACAUGCAUGUUAAACAAAAGAUAGAAAGGCAAGUGGCCCCAAAGAGAGAAAGGUAAGCAAGCCAACAUUGCUAGGAUGUACUCUCACAUAUGGUUGUAUCCAAACAAGCCACAAAAUGGGAAAUGAUACAAUCAAACAAAACAAAGAGGCCCCAAAGAGCAACAAGCACAAAUCCACAAAGGAAAACCAACAUGUGAAGCAUGGUAAGGAUGCAAGAAAUGAGAUCUAAGCAUACAAGCAUGGAUCCAAACACAAAAGCAAGGAAAAGAGCAAACAAAGCACAAACACGCAAAAAGGAACUAAUCCAAACCCUUUAUUGAAACUUAGGUGUAUGGAGUAAGCCUAGACCACUAGAUCUAGAUCUACACCUUACCCAAAAGCCAAACACAAGAAAAAGGCACAAACAAGAUGUAUAAAGCUAUAAAAAAAAAAAAAAACACUAGGCAUAGCAUCCAAACACAACUUUAAGCACUUAAGCAUGGCAAAAGUAUAUAAACAUGGCAAGAAGCACAAACAAGAAAAAUAGACAUAUUCUAACCCAAGAAAGCCAGACCAACAACAUCAAAGCAAUAAAACAUGUUAAGAAAGUAAGUAGACAUGCUAAAACAGCAAUAAAACAUGUUAGAAAGCAAGAUAAAGCAAGAAACAUGCUAGGAAAAGCAAAAGGAAGCAAGAUAAAGUUAAAUGGGUAUAGAUUGUAGCUGAAAAGAUACAUGUACACUCCUAAACCUCAAAUCCAAGGUAGAUGGACUAAGAAGAGGGAGAUGAGAGCAAGAAUACUACCUCUUGAUGUGUAGGAAAAGAGAGAAAUCAAAGAUUUUGAGUGUGUUUUGGAGAGAAAUUAAGAGAAAAGAGAGAGAAACUACCCAAAAAAAAAAGCUCCAAAAUGCCAAAAUUGCUUCUUUCUCUCUCUCUCUCUCUCUCUCUCUCUCUCUCUCUCUCUAAGGGGUCUAGGGGUUAAAUAGAUAUUUUUGUGACCUUUCAGCUUCCUCUGGCUAGCUUCGGCAACCCUUAAUGGUGUGUUGGAACUUGCUGCUGAGGUUAGCAGUCCUGUCCUUUUCUCCUAACUCUUCGAUUCUAACUUCAAUCGCUUCAUUGAAGGCCUUUCUGAACUCAGAUUUAGCUGAUUUUGGUAUUGAUGGAAAGGUAUGGACAUCUAGUUUUCCAAAAAAAAAAAAAAAUUAACAGUUUGAAAAUCCAAUUAUUUGAUCAAAAGUUAUGGCCUAGGGAAGCGAGUUGACGCGCUCGGCAUUAUUUCAAUGAUAUUUCAACCGUUUUAACUCUGAUUUCAACCCAUGAAUAGUCAUUAGAAAGGGAAUUUAAUUAUGUUCUCAAUGACUUUGGUUUUGACAAAUUCUAACAGUCGAAUCGAAAUUAUAUUUUUGGGUGCUCCCGAGGAUCAACCUCAGGUCAACCUUGAUCAAAGUUAGCCAAAAUUGAUAAAAAUCUCCAACAAGCUUGGAGUUGAUGUAAAAACAUGGAAAAUGUUGUUUCAAUGUGGUUUUGACCAACUUUGACAUUUGGUCAACUCAAGGUUGACUAGGAGCAUUUUGGUCAGUUUGACCUAAAAAUGCAUUUCAAGAGCUCGAUACCCGAAUGAGUUGUACCAUGUCUAUAUCGAUGUUCCCACGGUCCCCUAGUGGAAAAAUUAAUAUUUUUGAAAUUUUUGACAUCUAGCACGCAAAUUGAGAGCAGACAAAAUACAGUAUCUACAGCAAUUCUUGCAAAAUGGUAUGUAAUCUGACUUAAUAUUGUAAAUUUCAUUAUUAAAUGUUUCUUUUCCUACUUCACAAAUUAAAUUUUUAAUACAAAAUAUUUCGUAUCACAAAGAAAAUUCCAUAGUUACUUGUAGGGACUUAAAAGUUUGGGGGCCCAAACUCACUUAGAAUAGUGAGGCUUGUACCACUAAAUUAGGCCCAAAUAGAUAAAAUUUGUGAAGAGUGAGGGGAAAACAAGUUUGGGCACAAGUCCAAAGAUUCAAAUAAGAAGGGAAGAAAUGGAAGCGAAGAACAAAUAGAAUUAAUGCUUCUCUCAGGUCAACCCGAGGACAAUUUCUUACACAAGGAUAUACACUUCUUUUUCUCUUUCUUUCUACUGUUCUUGUUCUAAUCUCUUUUCCUUAAUCUUUUUUUUUUUUUUUUAUCCCUUCGCCUGGAAGUUCUCUUCCUUUAUAUACUCAUAUGCUUCUUACAUCCUAACCCUCCACCUGCAUCGUUCUAGGUUCUCCUUAGGACACUUGUUCCAUUAAACUCCUGUUGAAGGUGGUAGAAGGGGUUGCUUAGCUGUGAAUCCAUUGUUUAUGUGUCAUUUUCUCAUCAAUGCAGCUGAUAAAACUGUUGCCAGUCAUUUAAUGUGGAGAUAGUAGGUGAGCUUUCACAGAAAACUUCUUUCAAACACCUUGACCUUCUCCUAGAAUGCUAUUUUCUCCACUCGAGCUUCCCGGAGACAUUUCGUCCUUUCUCCCACCUUCUUCGCGAGUAAACCCACUCCUUGGGUUUAAGGUGCUUUCACCUAAUGAACGAAUGAUGGUCAUAGCAUUCUUAGUCUUCCUCAGUCCUCAGGUCCCCACAUUACUAAUCAUUUGGUGCUUAAAUGUGUUUUUUUUUUUUUUUCUCAAUCAAAUUUGAUUUAUUUUUUUUUUCAUUUUAUUAGUAAUCUUAUGAACUAUUACUUACUAUUUAUUUAUUUUUAUAUAUAAUGAAAAAUCUAAAAAUUCCACUGGUAUAUAAAAUUUUGAAUUAUUUUUUUACCAUAUUUUAAAUAAAAAUAACGUUUACACUAACAAAAAGAAUAUAUGUUUUUGACUUUUUGUACCACUUUACAUAUAUGUUUACACUAACAAAAAGAAUAUAGGUUUUUGACUUUGUGUACCACUUAAUUUUUAAUCAAAUUUAAACAUGAGAAUAUGAAAAUUAUUCUGUCCAUAUUCGAAUUACUUAGGCUAUUUACAAAUUAAUUUUUUUUUUACUAUAAAUGAAAUUAUGUAAGAGAUGCUUAAAGUUUUAGAGUUUUUAAGCUCUGAAAAAUUUUUAGUGUCUCUCCAAAUCGUACUAGAACUAUCAUUUUUAAAAAAUUAAUUAUUGUCUCAACUAAUCUUGUAUGUAUGUAUUUUGAAUUUCUUUUAAGUUGUGAAUUAAUGUAUAAAUUUUCCUCUCAAACAAAAAUUCCUAGUUUCGUCCCUAAUCUUUUAUUCUUUAAAUGAGGGCAUGGAAGCCCUUAACCUUAUGAUGGACAAAGGCUAUAAGGGCAUAGAAAUAUACAAAGCAAAGUGGACAACCGACACACACAAAAAAGGCGGGAGGGGGGUUAUGUGACACCCAUCCUAAGCAUGAGGAACUCCCCAAAAAUGGUUGAUGCAUAUAAAAUCUUUGCCCACCCUCCACCUUCCAAGGGAACCUCUUUUAAUCAUCUCCUUGCAUAAAGAAGAAACCCUCAAUCCAAUCCCUAUUGGAUGAGGAAAGACCAACCACUACGCAUGUUGUUUUGUCAUGCUCGGCGAAAUGCUAGCUAUGUUGCACGGACACAGACACAGACACGGGGAUACGGUAAUUUUUGAAAAAUAAGGACACCACAUGGCGGGGACACGGCGGUUAAAUAAUUAAUUAAAUUUUAUAUUUAGACAUAUUUUUUAAUAUUUUUAGACAUAAAAUACGUUUAUGUCUAGAAUUUAAAUUAUGUAAGAAUUACAAAUAAAUAAAUUAACACCCAAAUUAGUACAAUAAUACACAUAAAAUGUUUAGAGUAAAAACCAAAAGUUUAAAUAGGCUACGUUCAAAUACUAAUAAUAAUACUAAAAAUAAUAGUCAAAAUAAUAAUAUAAAUUAUUUUCUUUUGGACCAAUGGCAUCUUAAUGACAUCGUGGCAUUGACAUAUGGUGCUCAAAAGUUGAAAUUUGAAAUUGAAAGUUUGGAAGUGACUCUCACGUGGGUUGGCAGUAGACAGUCAAGACACACAAACCAAGGAAGAAAUAUAAAAAAAAAAGUAUUAUAAAAGUUAAAAUGAACAGAAGAAGACAGAAGGCAUGUGGGUCUGCGAAGAAAAAGAAAAUGAAGAAGAAGAAAAAGAAGAAGAAGAAGGAGAGAGGAGGAGCUUGCCGAUCAGAAGGGACAGGGCACGCCGGCACAGCGUCGACGUCUAUGGAGUUCGCUGAUUGGCCCGAUCUAGCUCCGGCAAGGGACAGAGGGCAGCGGCAGCGGCAGCGGGCAGAGGUCAAAGAGAGGGUGGAAUCUAUGAUUUUUUUUUUCACUGCUAGCGUGUCGGAUGCGUCAGUACCGAGUCGAAGCCGCGUCGGCGCCAUGUCGAAGUCGUGUUGGAGAAGCGGAAAAAAAAAGGGACACCGCCGGAUAUUGAUUGUCUUUGUUGUUCUGCUAGGUCACAAUACACUCUAUCAGGACAUACUCGACGUUCAUGGUUAACUAUCCUCAGGCUAAUGUAUACGACAUAAUAACUCCUAGGCAACAGGUUGAAUAAGCCUGCUUGAAAGGCCUUUUCAUUAAACGUGACGUCCCUUUGGGCUAAAGAGCAAGCCCUUUUCAUCUAGGCAGUGCAGAGCAAUGUCUUUAGUGCUCAGCCUUAGCUUGUCGUGAUGGUGUGGAGGUGGGUUAGGUUGAAUCAGAGGAUGACUCGUCAAAAUUGAAGACCAUAAAAGUUGUGCUCAAACCACUUGGAAGCUCGUCAGAGUGUACCAAUGGCCCAUUUCCAUCACCAUAUAACAUUUGACUAAGGUAUUGGAGGGCACCAACGACUGUGUCUACUAAAGGAAAAGGAAUAACUCUGCCCAAACACGACAGAAAGCACAAUCUAUUAAGAAAAAUGGACUCGAAGGAGGACAUUUAUAGUUAUUCUCUGAUAGGCUAAGAAUGUAUUGACCCCUUGUGAUGAAUUAAUCAAUUAAUUUAGCUAAGUUAAUUAAUUAAUCCAAUUACCAUGCAAUACGCGUGGUAGCACAAACAAAUGACCAAAUUAAUAUGCAGCGAAAAAUAAAGUUGACAUAGUGAUUUGUUUACGAAUGAGGAAAACUUUCAAGGCAAAAAUCCACCGGGUAAUUUUAAGGUCACCAUUCCCGAGAAUCCACUAUUAUUACAAUAAGCGGUUACAAGUAAAAGAAUCUCAGUACCUUAUACUAGCCUACAGUUGAACCCUUACCCCAAUAUACAAUUGAACUUGUUUUGUAGUGACAAUCUCUUCUUUUAAUGUACAACUUCCAGUACAUGACUAACCAAUCGAUGCAUGGAUCCAAAUAUGUGGCUAACCACCAACUUGAGAAGGAUGUUAGCAGCAAAGUUCUUCAGUUCAUCAUAUAAUUAAGAUCAUGAAACUUCUUGGUUACAAAACCCUAUAGCGUACAAACGCAGCAGCUUUUUGAAGAGGAAGAUGAACUAGGGAAUAUGCCUCCGGUCACAAUAUGCUUGUAAAAAACUUUUGCAUUAAGGUGCAUCAGCUGUAACGGCCCUUAAAAUAAUCCUUAUAUAUGUUUAAGGUUAUGAGAAAAGAAAGCUUAAACAAAUAUACACAGAUUGGAGUGAAAUCAGAACGGAAAAUCUGAUUUUUGUAAAUCUUGAUAGAUAGGUUAUGUAUCGAGCAGCUGUUGAGCAUCGGGCUUAAAUAGCUUUGCCAAAAAAAAAAAAAAAAAUUAAUAAUAAUGAUAAUAAUAAUAAUAAGCACAAUAAUAAUAAUAAUAAUAAUAAUAAAAAUGGUUAUAAAACCCCUAGCUUUUGGAUUGCUACGCCCAACCUAACCAAAGAAACUGCCUUCCAAUACCUCUGGAGUCAAGAUUCUGAUUUUGGGAAAUGUUUGGAUUACCCUAACAGGAAUAAUUCUUGUGACCUAUAGUUUGGUUUUUAUCAGUUUAAAAUAUAGCAGAUGACCUUUAAUCACAUGCAAAAUGCAGCUUUGAAAAGUGUAGUUGAAACCAAUACAGAAAUUCAUUCUCUUGAGAUGCUAUUUACGUAUCAGCCAUAAACUCUUGGCUGCUUUAGCAGAUUGAAACCUGAAGGAUCAUGCAUGCUGCAUGUUUAGGGAUGGUAAAAAAAAAAAAAAUCUGCAGAUGUUAUUGUAAGCAUGUUAACAGCUGCUAAUAUCAGGAGGUGUAAAGUAGUGCCUUGUGUUGUCAGAUUUGUUUCUGAGGCAAUUUGACUUGGACAACUUGCAGGGUUUAAAUGAGUUCAUUCAAAAAAAGAAAGAGGAACAAUGAAUAAAAGAUCCUAACCACAAAAAGAAGACUUGAAAGAAAAAGAAGAAUGAGUAGAAUAGGAUGAUUUUACUCAUCUUCCCCCACCCCAAUGGCUGAAUACCGUUUAAUAUCACAAACCUAUAAUAACUAUAAGAUAAAGAAUAUUUGUUUAGAGAGAAGCGAAGGAAAGAGGUUGAAGAUGGAAGGGUAAAGUACCAAAAUGAUAAUUGAAAUUUUAUGGGAAGUUUAUGCAUCUGCAUAGCAUAAAUUCCCUAACUAGUUCAUUUCCUAAAGAAAAUGAUUUGGUUAGGUUUUGAGAUUUUAGAUUGACAAACCAUGAACAAAAAUGUUUUAGUUAUUACUUUAGAAUGUCAAAGUGCUAUUAAGAUUGCUGCCUAGGUGCUGGAAGUUACUAUGCUAAACAAACCCCAAUACACAUCCAAGAGACUUUUGGAGCUGCUCUAUUAUAGAUCCGAAGGUUUUGUGCCUCUUGCUCACAAAAGUUGCUACUGGAUCAUUCUACAUACAAUCUAAACCAGCGAAUAUUGAAGUUGUGCAAACCAUUCAUCUCAUGUACUGGAUCUAAACCUUCAAGUGGAGUUUUGAAGGUAUUUUUUUUUUUUUUAAAUCAAAUGUGAUUGUACCAAAAUUAGUUAACACAAACAAAUCUAAAUAGGGUGUCAUUGUUUUGUCUGUCUAGCCAUCAAGGUAUUGGUUUGUUUGUUAGUAUGAGUAUGGAAAGCUGUGGGUUGUUGAGAAAGUAGACUUUAUCUAACAGAUACUGGGCAUUUCUUUCCUUCUUUCAGUGCUGGACAGUUAUAAACUCUUACAAUAUGAUGCUUCACGAACAUUUUCUUGCAAGGCUGUACAUCAACUAUUACAAUUUCAAUUUAUAGGUUCUCCACGUGGCCAAUAUUGGAGACUCAGGAUUUAUAGCAAUAAGAAAUGGUGCUGUCUUUAACAGAUCAUCUGCGAUGGUUCACGGAUUCAAUUUUCCAUUACAGAUUGAGAGAGAUGACGAUCCCACAGAAUACAUAGAGGUACAUUGGAUCAAAGUCAUUAGUUUUCCAACUAAGUCUUCUAAAUUGUAUAGGCACAAUGUUUUUAGAAAUCUGUUACUAGUUAAAAUGAUAAGAACACUAUUUCUUCACUUUUUAUCCCAACUCUUCUUGAAAAUUGGUCUGUUGUACUUGUCCAUGUUCAAGCACAAGAUGAAGGGCACAAAAUUCUGCUAAAUAUUGUUUAUGUUUCAGGGAUACACAGUUGAUUUUUGUGAAGGAGUUUUAGUAUAAACGUGUCUGUUUCAGGGUUACAAAAUAUAUCUGGAUGAAGGAGAUGUAAUUGUCACUGCAACUGAUGGCCUUUUUGACAACUUAUAUGAGAAAGAGAUAGCUUCAGCUGUAUCCAACUCAUUGCAAGCCAGUUUGAAACCUCAGGUCUGCAUUUUCAACAAUAUCCAAUGCUGAUUUAAAAUUCUUUUAAAGUGAGAGAGAGAGAAUUGAUUGACAUUAGUUUCAUCAAGCCAUAGAUAACAUGUUAUUGCAAAUGGCCUGUAGUGCAUGUAACAAUCAAAUAUGAAUGAAAGCACACCAUUGCUGUUCCCUUUUUGGUUCUUAUACUGGAUGUGUCCCUAUUUGCAGCAAUUCAUUUUAUAGAUGUCAAAGUAACAGCACCCUCCUUGACCAUUGGCCAUCCAAAAUUAUCUCUUAAGUGGAAACUAAGAUUCAGCUAACUUGAAGAUAUUUGAGGCCUUAAUUAUUAACAACUUUGCAGCGGUUUCUAAGAUGCCUGUUUUUGUGGCUCAGGAUAUAGCAGAGUACUUGGCCAUGAGAGCUCAAGAAGUAGGACAGUCAGCAUGUGUAAGGACUCCCUUUGCAGAUGCAGCCCAUGCAGCAGGGUAUGUGGGAUAUACUGGUGGUAAGCUCGACGAUGUAACUGUCAUUGUGUCAUUCGUACAAAAGAGAUCCGGCUCUAACUCAUAGUAAGUUUGACCUUCUUUAUAUCAUUUUUCCAUUUGUAAAUACCAAAAUUCCAGUCUUUUUAUUUUUUUGGAAUGUAAAAUAUGGUGAUAUUCUUUCUUAAUUAUUGGAUGAAUGCUAGUAAGGUCAUAUUUUGCUCUUUGAUUUUAGGCUUUAUUGCUUUAGACACCUAUAAUGGAAGUACUUAUUGAGGCUUAGAUUUCUUUAAAAUCAAAGGUCUAUAUGUGGCACCAUAGUUGGUUGAAAGCACAAUGUGCUUGCAUGGCUUUUUUUGUAUUCCAUAGGUCUUUUUAACUGUGUCCAAGGCUCUUAUCCCCAUUUAAGAGGAAGUUCUCUUGGUUUACAUGUUAACAUUCAAGUACUCUGGCCAUGGAAACUCAAGAAACAGUGUAGAAAUUGUGUUGCGUUACAGACAUUGAACUUCACAUCAAAUCAGAUAUCUGUUUAACUUUUGUUCCCUUCAAAUCUAAUUUUUUGUGUUACAUCUGACACUGGAUUCUUAAACCAACUGUUACCAAAGGCAAAUAAGCCUGACAGAACACACACACACACACACACACACACUCUCUCUCUCUCUCUCUCUCUCUCUUAAAUACUUUGACACACCAAAUAGAAAUGAAAUUGUGCAGAACAAUGCACUGGCAGGGAUGACCACAAUGCUAAAAUUUAGGCAAAAACUGGAACCUUUCCCAGUCUCCUAACCCAGUUAAGGUGAAUUUGUUAUCAACUCACAUUAGCUUGACAACUAAUCAAAUCACUUUGCAUAUAGCUAACAUCGUCCUCGGAUGUUUGGUCAAGUAUGAUCAUGGGUUUUUUCUCUUUCAUAGUUUCCUCUGAUUCUUGUAAUUAAUAUUAGGAGUUCUCUAUUUGGCCUUUCUUUUGUAAUUGAUACUCAAGGAACUGCAGCACACUUGAUUUGACAUCUAUAAUGUAGUCUAAAGUUGAAUAAAAUUCUAUCGAAAAGAUUGUUGUUGAGUACACUUAUCAGUUAGUUGAGCUAGUAAUAAGGUCUCUAAACUCUAAUUAUGGUAUAAGAGGCUUAGAUUUCCGCCGUACACCAGAAGAUGAGGUUUAAGGGAUGGCUAAGGUGUUAUAUCCUGUUGUGCAACGCAUUUGUAUUAAUAUUUUCUAAUUUGUUAUAUUUGUACAAGAGAAUCUUGAUGAUCUUUCUCUAUCAUUUCUGGUUAAGUACAGUUUGAUUACAUCCAUUUCUGUUGGGUAAGUGUGUUUCUAAUACUUUAGACCAUGAAAGUGAGUUUGUGAGGAUACUAGCCAUUCCUUAAAGCAAGGUGCUCAUUGACUGCCAGUUGCAAGUUGGUCAGUAACUUACUUCAUAAUAUAGGGUUCCAUAUGAAAUUUAGCUCUUUGGAAAAUGCAAAAUUUCUUCAAUGAUCGGGUCAGUAACAGUUUUUAGUUAAUAAGCUGGUGUGCUGCCUCCUUCUUGUAUCAUUUUUGUUAUUGAUUUCCUUUGAUCUUAAUAUUUGAUAAUAACAUUCAUGUAUAUGCUUGUAAACGUUUGAUGUGUGGAUAAUUAGGUUGUUGCCCUGCUUUCCCGAUAAAUUUUACUUUUUUAAUUAUCUUUUUGGCCUUUUAAUUUAGGAGGGAGACAUCACACAAAUGAUCAGAUUGAAGAUAUUAUAGAGAAAUAUUUUGUGGGGUGGAUUCAAAACUUCAAAUACCAUUUGGUUGGUCGAUCAGAUAAAUGGGAAGGCAUGGAGCUGGGAUCUUUAAUUUUAUAG